rnacentral:misc_RNA from 1 species
AACGCAUAUUGCGCCCUUUGGCAUUCCGAGGGGCAUGCCUGUUCGAGCGUCAUGAUCAAACCUCCUGAGCCCUGCUUGGGGUAUUGGGUUUUCACCUCUCCUCAAUAUACAGGUGGUGGUGUACCUGAAAGUUAGUGAUGGUGCCUCAACAAGACUCAAGUGAAGCAGACUGUGACUCACUUUGGAGAACUUUUGUGGUUCUGUCAACAAAAUAAUUAAACAAAGUUGACCUCGGAUCAGGUAGGGAUACCCGCUGAACUUAA